GGACAAUGGAGGCACCACAGCCAGAGAAAGGGUGGACCCGACAUAGAGCAAGAAUCCUGCACAAGUCAGCAUCUUUUCAGAAUGUAGCCAACAACUGGAAGAAGGCCAGCUACACUUCUGACAUAAACUCAGAACCUGAAAUUGCAGGAAAACGGAUUCCCAAAAAGAAAACAAGUACCGAUCAUAUCUACUCGUCAGAUGAAGAGGCAGCAGAUCAACCACCCAUUAAAAAAAGAAAAGCUGCAAACAAAGCAAGUGUUCCACCUGCACCAAAUCCUCCAGCAAUUCCAAAACGCAACAAAAAAGGUAAUGAAAAAUAAUAAUAAAAAAAUAAAUACUG